UACGGGGAGGGCAAGCGUUGUUCGGAAUUACUGGGCGUAAAGGGCGCGUAGGCGGCCUUCUAAGUCGGACGUGAAAUCCCUCGGCUUAACCGAGGAACUGCGUCCGAUACUGAAAGGCUUGAAUCCGGGAGAGGGAUGUGGAAUUCCAGGUGUAGCGGUGGAAUGCGCAGAUAUCAGGAGGAACACCGAUGGCGAAGGCAGGUCUCUGGGCCACUACUGACGCUGAGAAGCGAAAGCAUGGGGAGCGAACAGG
rnacentral:rRNA from 1 species